CCCUUAGAUGUUCUGGGCCGCACGCGCGCUACACUGAUGCGUUCAACAAGUUUCCUUGGCCGAGAGGCCUGGGCAAUCUUCUUAAUAUGUAUCGUGAUAGGGAUAGAUUAUUGCAAUUAUUAAUCUUGAACGAGGAAUUCCUAGUAAACGCAGAUCAUCAAUCUGCAUUGAUUACGUCCCUGCCCUUUGUACACACCGCCCGUCGCACCUACCGAUUGGAUGUUCCGGUGAAGCCUCGGGAUGAGGACUGGUGCCUUUAUUGGCAUGAGUUGUUCAGAACUUGUCUAAGCCUUAUCAUCUAGAGGAAGGUGAAGUCGUAACA
rnacentral:rRNA from 1 species